UACGGAGGGGGCAAGCGUUAUUCGGAAUUAUUGGGCGUAAAGGGCGCGUAGGCGGCUAGAUGUGUCAAAGGUGAAAUCCCUCGGCUCAACCGAGGAAGUGCAGUCGAAACUAACAAGCUAGAAGAAGGUAGAGAAAGGUGGAAUUCCAAGUGUAGAGGUGAAAUUCGUAGAUAUUUGGAGGAAUACCGGUGGCGAAGGCGGCCUUUUGGGCCUUUCUUGACGCUGAGACGCGAAAGCGUGGGUAGCAAACAGG
rnacentral:rRNA from 1 species